rnacentral:lncRNA from 1 species
UGUGCUCGAUUAGUCAGCAUUGAAUCAAAAUCCGAAUUGUUCGAGAAAACUUUUACAUUGUCGACUUUUACAUUAAAAUUUCAGAAUAACAUAAUGAUUGUUAUAUAAAUAGAAGCUUUUUACUUGGCAUCAGUGGUGAUAGUUGAGGUCAAAUCCUCUUCAAUAACUCAGUAGUAGGGUGUCCAGUGAUCUAUUUAAAGGGUCUCACUGAGGUUAGUUUUGUUUAUCUUGAUAGUUACCUGGUUAUAUCAGUUACAGAUCUACAGAUUUUUAGUAGAAGCGACCCUCAUCGACUUCGAUUGGGGAAGACAGCAGACGAGUGCUGAGAGUCAUCGGAUGAUGCCUUCAUGGUGAAAAAACUUGACAAAAAGUCAACAGAAUAAAUUCUCAAAAUUAAAUUAAAUUGAUUUGUUUUCAUUUUAG